GGGUGGGGGGCAGGUGGAGGGGACGGCCGAGACGCACACCAUCCACGGCCCCUCGGGACUGGAGGGACUCGUGAGCCGGAGCCCAGAUAUCCGGGGGUGGAUAAAAGACACCGCGUCCCCUCCCAAUUCCCCUGCCACCUCCCUGCCCAGUGUGGAUCCCGUCUCAGCUUGUUCACCCCGGCAGGGUGAGCCUAGAGGUGACUCCUGGUCCCAGCUUCCUCACUGGUCAUCGCCCCCAGCCAGCCAGGAUAGCAAGCUCACAGUUGAAGGCGGUCUCCAGGCCUGCAGAAGCUGGGCUCCUGUCCCCCUUUUUUCUGAGGCACAGUUUUGGUGACCACAGAAGGAUUUAACUACUUAGGACAGAGCUGCCAGAGAUGAAAAGAAUGCAACUGUGCCUUUUGCUAUGAGAAAUGAGAAGUUCUGAGCAUGAUGAAAAAUCAGUGGAAUAUUCCACCAAAUUUUUAAAAAAAGAAGAAAAAGAAACAAAAGCAAAAUAAGGAGCCCAUUUUCUGUGGGAUGACAGUUGGUCUCUGGGUGGAUGCCGGAGACCCUUGUUUCUCCACGUACACAGAACGUGUCUGUCCGUGUUUGCUUUUACAGUGGAGGUGGCAUCCCCUGAUCUUUCUCUUCAGACUCAUCUGGCCUCAGCGCAGACAUGUGAUAACAGGCAGGAUUUUGGAAGGCUGGAACUCCCUCCAGAUAGGGCCUGGGGACAGCCCUCUCACCCUCCAAAGCAUACCACUCCCUCAUCCUCUGUUUCCCUCCCCUUCUCUCCCAUCUCCCUGAACUGUGUCGCCUCUCCCAACCCUUUCCCUCUCUUUGCCCAUUGCCCAGUUCAGCUUCUGCACUUGUCCGAACUCCUAGAUUUAACGUUCUUAGGGAAAGGCUGAGACCCGCAUUCAUCCCUACUGAAAGGGUUUAGUGAAGGUGUGCUCAGAGAGUGGGAGGGAUAGAGUACCUGAAGAUGGAGAGUGAUAAAGCCCCUCCCUCCCACCUGUGCCCUGCCCCUGGGAUGUCCCAGUCUCUGUCUUGGGAACAAUAGUUUCUCCAGUCUGUGGUGGGAUGGUCUGGGGAAAGUGUCACCUUGACAAAAUCAGAGGGGUUUCCAGUGUCACCCACUGUCACCACCAGAGGGCAGCAGCUAGCCAGACCUUUGCUCCUUCCCAGUCUAGUCUCCUGGCUCUUAAUCUUUCCAGAUGGGUCUUCUAUGCCUCCAGUCUCUCAUUUAACUUGAGGGUGGGGGAGUUGGGUGGGGCAUGGGGAAGCACUGGGGGCUGUAGGUAGUUUCCUUUGUAACUGGGCUGGUGUAGCCCCCACAAAGCCAAACCCUGUCUCCAAAGCCAGGCAGCAAAGUCCAGCAGAAAUUUCAACCUGACUCCUAGCUGCCAGUCACUGAAAGCACCAGGAAGCCAGUCCCAGAUCAUCCGUGUGCCCAGUGGUCCCAGCACCCCAGCUGUGACACAGUGAACUUGGUCAUCAGCCCCUUCCCUUUUGAGGGCAGAGGGCAGGCAAGGCUGUGAGCAAAUGUUCAUGAACCAGGCUCUGCCCCAUGGAAGCAGUCUGGCCUUGGGCAAGUUAUGUAACCUCUCUGAGCCCUUCUCAGGUGCUGAAUUCAUGGGACUGUGAUGAGCAGUGAGAGUAUGAAGGAAGGGAAUUUGUCAACUAUGACAUACUAUAUGCAAGAAAAGAGCAGUUGAUCAUAGUAGAGAAAAAAAAUCAAUGGUCUCAAGACUCUGAGAUCUGGUUUUGAGAUCUGUCUCUGCCACUUCCAGUGGAUGACCUUUGAGCAAGUCAGCUAACCUCUCUGGGGCUGCAAUAAUAUCAUCUGUAAUCUCCAGCAUUGUACAGGAUUGUUAAGAGGAAGCCUAGCAAGGGCUUUGUGGUCUAUGCCCAUCUGAGGAGUUGUUUUUACUAAGCCCCUGGGAGAGGUUCCUGGGGCUCAGCAGAGUGGAUUGAACCAGGUGGGCAUUAGUGGUGGAAACAAAGCCAGCUGGCUGGGCACCCUCAGACAGACCUUGUGUGGUUUUAUCAGGAGCUCUGGACAACGGUUGGAGGCCAAAAGAGUCCCUACAGGUGGUGCCCAGGGUGAUGUACCAACAAUGAGUGGGUGUUUUCCAGUUGCUGGCCUCCGAUGCCUGUCUAGGGUCUCGGAUGUGCCAGCGCCUCUGGCAGGGGCCCGCUAACCUGCCUCUCCCCGGCCGGCUCCCGCCGCGCCUCCUCUCGCUUGCUCCCUCCUCCUCCUGCUCCUCUCCCCCCUGCUCCCAGGACGGUAGGAUGGCUGCGCAGGGCGCGCCGCGCUUUCUCCUGACCUUCGACUUUGACGAGACUAUCGUGGACGAAAACAGCGACGACUCGAUCGUGCGUGCGGCGCCGGGCCAGCGGCUGCCCGAGAGCCUGCGCGCCACCUACCGCGAAGGCUUUUACAACGAGUACAUGCAGCGCGUCUUCCAGUACCUGGGCGAGCAGGGCGUGCGGCCGCGGGACCUGCGCGCAAUCUAUGAGGCUAUCCCACUGUCGCCUGGCAUGGGCGAUCUGCUGCAGUUUGUGGCCAAGCAGGGUGACUGUUUCGAGGUCAUUCUCAUCUCGGAUGCCAACACCUUUGGCGUGGAGAGCGCGCUGCGCGCUGCCGGCCACCAGGGCCUGUUUCGCCGCAUCCUCAGCAACCCGUCGGGGCCUGACGCGCGUGGGCUGCUGGCGCUGCGGCCCUUCCAUACGCACAGCUGCGCACGCUGCCCUGCCAACAUGUGUAAGCACAAGGCGCUCAGCGACUACCUGCGUGAGCGGGCCCAUGAGGGCGUGCACUUCGAGCGCCUUUUCUAUGUGGGCGACGGCGCCAACGACUUCUGCCCCAUGGGGCUGCUGGCGGGCGGCGACGUGGCCUUCCCGCGUCGCGGCUAUCCCAUGCACCGCCUUAUACAGGAGGCGCAGAAGGCCGAGCCCAGCUCCUUCCACGCCAGCGUGGUGCCCUGGGAAACCGCCACCGAAGUGCGCCUGCAUCUCCAACAGGUGCUGAAGACCUGCUGAGAACGGCUGUGUGCAGAGGGCGCCCGGGAGCCCGAGUGGAGAAGGGGCGAGGGCUGCGGCGGGCGGGACGAGGGGUGAAGGUAGAUGGGAAAGACAAACCUAGUUUUAUUACUCCUUUCCCUUUAACUCUGGUAUGUCCCUCCGGGAAUUUCUAGAGUUUAGGGCUUGUCCACUGGAGGUUGGGGGAGGGAGUCCUUAUCUAUGCAGUUAACUCAGCUCUGCUGCCUCCUCACAUUCCCCUGCAGUUAAAUUCUGAGUCCGGCCCCACUAAUAUGCUGUGCAUACCUGGGAAGGUAGCAGUGUUUCCAGAAACCUUGUCCUCUGAACUGGGAGGAAGGGGUUCCCUGGCAAGGGAGGAAAGGAAGAUCUCCCACUGCUUUAACUGCUGCCUUGGGCCGCGUAACCUCCCUGCCCCAGUCUUCUGUCAAGGGGACCCAGGUCCUGAAGUCCUCCCCACGUGCGCCGUCUCUCGGCAGGGAGAGAUGACGCUCUCCACCGACAGCUCCGAACCUAGUUCUACAGCAAGCUACACCCUACACCCCUUUUCUUGCCUGUCUUUCCCCACCCACUUCGCCAUCAACCCCAGAGGAAAAAAAGCCAGAGGGAGCAGUUGCCUCCUAGUGGUGGAAUGAGGUAGCACCGGUCCUGCUCGGGGACUAGCCAGGGACCUCGCAGCAUGCGACGGUGUCUACUCUCACCCCAGCCUCGUCUAUGCAGCAAAAGAUCAGGGACUUAACCAAAGUCGCCCCGCGGUCUGGGCUCUCUGCACUCCCUCCCUCAUGUCUGGAACAGAAAGCCAUGAUGUUGAAGCCCUCCCUCCCUCCUUGGUGUUUCAGAGCUUAUAAAGGAGGUGAAGGGGGAAGAGGUGACUGAGGUCUCUCGCGCCGCAGCCUGAGGAGUGAGGUGAUCUCUGCCCUCAGAGAGCCCUACUUCAGUGAGGGAGUUGGUCCCCAUCUUGGAGGAAUGCCCAGCUUGAGGAACCAAAACUAAACAGGGGCAGGUAUUGGGCUAAAGGCUUCAACACAUUUCCCACUUAACCCAUGUGACUGCCUUCAGGGAAGGAAGGUAGAAGAAUCAGAGGAGAAAUGCUCCAGGUCCUGUAGUUGACUAUAGUGGAGUUGGAAAUUGGACUCAGGUCUUUGUAGACCCAAAUCCUGUGUGCAAACUGGGUGCAAAUGAGAACUCAUCUGGAAGUGCUUCGGGAUGUGCAGAAGUACUGAAGGACCAGGAGGAA